CAGCAGCCGCGGUAACACGUAGGGCGCAAGCGUUGUCCGGAAUUAUUGGGCGUAAAGAGCUCGUAGGCGGUCUGUCGCGUCUGGUGUGAAAUCCCGAGGCUCAACCUCGGGCUUGCAUCGGGUACGGGCAGACUAGAGUGCGGUAGGGGAGACUGGAAUUCCUGGUGUAGCGGUGGAAUGCGCAGAUAUCAGGAGGAACACCGAUGGCGAAGGCAGGUCUCUGGGCCGCAACUGACGCUGAGGAGCGAAAGCAUGGGGAGCGAACAGGAUUAGAUACCCCGGUAGUCCCUGUCUCUUAUAC
rnacentral:rRNA from 1 species